GGAUUCGNAUGGGCGAAGCCUGACGCAGCAACGCCGCGUGGAGGAUGAAGGUCUUCGGAUCGUAAACUCCUGUCAGUGGGGACGAAUGCCUCGCAAGAGGUUUGACUGUACCCGCUGAGGAAGCCACGGCUAACUCCGUGCCAGCAGCCGCGGUAAUACGGAGGUGGCAAGCGUUGUUCGGAAUUACUGGGCGUAAAGGGCGCGUAGGCGGCUUGGCAAGUCAGAUGUGAAAGCCCCGGGCUUAACUCGGGAAUUGCAUCUGAAACUGCUUUGCUUGAGUCCUGGAUGGGAUAGUGGAAUUCCCAGUGUAGCGGUGAAAUGCGUAGAUAUUGGGAGGAACACCUGCGGCGAAGGCGGCUAUCUGGACAGUGACUGACGCUGAGGCGCGAAAGCUAGGGGGGCGAACGGGAUUAGAUACCCCGGUAGUCCUAGCCGUAAACGAUGGGCACUUGGUGUUGGGGGUAUUGAGUCCCUCGGUGCCGGAGUUAACACGUUAAGUGCCCCGCCUGGGGAGUACGGUCGCAAGACUGAAACUCAAAAAAAUUGACGGA
rnacentral:rRNA from 1 species